rnacentral:rRNA from 1 species
GCACUGUGGGUAGUGGGCUUGCUUACUCUGAGCUUGGUCACAACAACAGUGCUCUACAAGCCGGCUAGCGGAGUGGUCUUCGGCCGCAACAAGAACGCCUACUACCUCACCCUUGCUGCCAUCUUCGUUGCAGGGGCCAUAGAGGUCUCCACCGCCGUCUGGCUAUCCCGCUCCUCAAACGGCAACAGGCGCCGUUUCUCGUUUGGAAGGGUCGUUCUAUGCUCCUCCAUCGGGCCAUUAGUUGCCAUCAUCGGCAUAAGUGGCUUUGCAUUCACCCAAGGCUAA